rnacentral:rRNA from 1 species
UACGUAGGGCGCAAGCGUUGUCCGGAAUUAUUGGGCGUAAAGAGCUCGUAGGCGGUUUGUCGCGUCUGCUGUGAAAACCUAAGGCUCAACCUUGGGCUUGCAGUGGGUACGGGCAGACUAGAGUGCGGGUAGGGGUGACUGGAAUUUCCGGUGUAGCGGUGAAAUGCGUAGAUAUCGGAAGGAACACCAGUGGCGAAAGCGGCUUCCUGGUCCAGCACCGACGUCAGGCACGGAAAGCGUGGGGAGCAAACAGG